rnacentral:rRNA from 1 species
GACGAACGCUGGCGGCGUGCCUAACACAUGCAAGUCGAACGGUGAAAUUCAGCAUGGAUUUCUUAGUGGCGAACGGGUGAGUAACGCGUAGACAACCUGCCUCUAAGCUGGGGACAACAACUCGAAAGGGUUGCUAAUACCGAAUGUGAACAGUGUCUCGCAUGAGAUGCUGUUUGAAGGUGGCCUCUGAAUAUGCUACCGCUUAGAGAUGGGUCUGCGUCUGAUUAGCUAGUUGGAGGGGUAACGGCCCACCAAGGCGACGAUCAGUAGCCGGUCUGAGAGGAUGAACGGCCACACUGGGACUGAAACACGGCCCAGACUCCUACGGGAGGCAGCAGUGGGGAAUCUUCCGCAAUGGACGAAAGUCUGACGGAGCAACGCCGCGUGAGUGAAGAAGGCCCUCGGGUCGUAAAGCUCUGUCUUCAGGGACGAAUGUGCAGAUUGUGAAUAAUGGUUUGUAAUGACGGUACCUGAGGAGGAAGCCACGGCUAACUACGUGCCAGCCGCCGCGGUAA